rnacentral:lncRNA from 1 species
GCAGUACGUGCCUACCCACACGCGCUGAACCUGAAUCACCACAACCUCGCCCUUGGAUGACAGCCGAAGCCUUUCGCAUUUUGCCUAGGAUUCCCCGAUGCACGCCUGUCUCUAGCCAAGCCUGUUGAUCUAAGAGGCAGGGUCUCCAAGACUCAGCCAGUAGGGAGAGCUGGGCGAAUGGAUCCAAUCUGAGAUAGUGCUCCUGUGCGGGUUCCAUGGUGACGGCCACACCCACCCCGCUGCGGCCAGAUGUCAUGCGGGUCACCUCACUCCAGGGCUGGGGAUGAGACCUUAAACCCUGGAUUCAAGAAAGAGACCAGAGGACUGGAGAGAUGGCUCAGUGGUUAAGAGUACCAACGGAAGGUCCUGAGUUCAAAUCCCAGCAAACACAUGGUGGCUCACAACCACCCAUAAUGAGAUCUGCCGCCCUCUUCUGGUGUGUCUGAAGACUGCUACAGUGUACUUAUACACAUAAAUAAAAUCUUUUUAAAAAGAAAGAUA